UACAGAGGGGGCAAGCGUUGUUCGGAAUUACUGGGCGUAAAGGGCGCGUAGGCGGCCUUCUAAGUCGAACGUGAAAUCCCCGGGCUCAACCCGGGAACUGCGUCCGAUACUGGAAGGCUUGAAUCCGGGAGAGGGAUGCGGAAUUCCAGGUGUAGCGGUGAAAUGCGUAGAUAUCUGGAGGAACACCGGUGGCGAAGGCGGCAUCCUGGACCGACACUGACGCUGAGGAGCGAAAGCCAGGGGAGCAACGGG
rnacentral:rRNA from 1 species